rnacentral:rRNA from 1 species
GAUGAACGCUGGCGGCGUGCCUAAUACAUGCAAGUCGAGCGAACGGACGAGAAGCUUGCUUCUCUGAUGUUAGCGGCGGACGGGUGAGUAACACGUGGAUAACCUACCUAUAAGACUGGGAUAACUUCGGGAAACCGGAGCUAAUACCGGAUGAUAUUUUGAACCGCAUGGUUCAAAAGUGAAAGACGGUCUUGCUGUCACUUAUAGAUGGAUCCGCGCUGCAUUAGCUAGUUGGUAAGGUAACGGCUUACCAAGGCAACGAUGCAUAGCCGACCUGAGAGGGUGGUCGGCCACACUGGAACUGAGACACGGUCCAGACUCCUACGGGAGGCAGCAGUAGGGAAUCUUCCGCAAUGGGCAAAAGCCUGACGGAGCAACGCCGCGUGAGUGAUGAAGGUCUUCGGAUCGUAAAACUCUGUUAUUAGGGAAGAACAUAUGUGUAAGUAACUGCGCACAUCUUGACGGUACCUAAUCAGAAAGCCACGGCUAACUACGUG